UAUAUAAUACUUGUGCACUUAGGCCAUCUCAUGUUGAACCGUAUUAGAUUAUUAAAUUUAAAAGUGAACAGUAGUUGUAUGGUAAAAUGAAUUCUCAGGAAGGAACCAUUGAUACUCAACUUGCUCAAACCAUAAAGGGUUAAUAUUUAUGGACUAGGCUAAGCCUGGCAGAUAAUGAAUUGAGCUGUCUUUUAUACAUCCUGUGCUGAGCAGUUUAGAUAACAGGGAAUGUUUAACUAGGAGUAGAAUAUUUGCCUGUGUAAGCAAGAUAGAACAAAGAAUCUUGGCCCUGUCAAGCAAACUCAGGUAAACAUUGGUGAAAGAGGAAUGACAUGGAACAUUGUUCCUAGUUUAUGUCUGCAUGAGCAAGAUACAGCAAAUAUGACCAAAUAAGAAAGUUCUACUUGGGGUGAAUAAAGAAAAAUACCUAGAAAAAUACGAGGGCGGGUCACUGGUGGUCGUAAAAAACCGCCCUCCGACUCAAAUAAAAAGACCUCCAGAGCUUUAUGAGCAUGCGUGGCAGAUAUUCACGAGUUCCAAGGCAUGAUUUAAAUAUGCAUGACUUUCACAGGAAAUGUGAUGAAUAUGCAUGUAUUGCUGUCAUAUAAUACUUGCUUUUGAGAACGCCAGGCAGACGCGUUUGGUGGAGGGAUCCCCCGUGUCUCCAGCACUGCAGGGAAGAAUGCCUGCUAUCUAAGAUUUCAACACAAGUCUUGGAGAGUUUUAUUUGCUGAGUUUUAUGGUAUCAUUUUGGCGACCUAGAUAGGACCCUUCUAGACCUCAAUGGAUCCUGGGAUCGUGGAACCUCCAGCUGGCACUGAGGAUUUUCUCAGGGAGAACCCUGAUCCCCAGACCUGAGAGCUUGAAGUAAGACCCCUGGUUCUGAAAGAGUUAGCCAAUCAGCCGUCCAAAGACCUGACAUUUUUCCCUCUUCUCAAAUUCUAUCUGGAAGUCUAACUGGAAACCUCAUUCUUGUUCCACAAGGAGCACUCAUGUGAAUAAAAUGCAUGCUUAACCUCAGACCUUGUAAUUAUUCUGCAGUCGUGCUCCAAAUUUGCUAUCUCUCUAGUGCUGCACAACAGCACUUCAGAAUCCUACCAAAGGAAGAGGACACUGUUUUUAAUGAAGGGAGCAAAGUAGCUGGGUUUGGCUAUGGUUUUCAUCCAUUACUUCCACAACUACACUGCGAUUGUUGUAGCAUGGAAUCCUAAAAUGAAAUAUUUGCAUGUUAAACAAAACCAAUACCAAAGUAACAAAGACCAGUGAUCUUCAAUUCAGCAUGUUGAGACGUUUUUAUGUUUCAACAUAAAAAUGCAUAGAUUGAGUUGCUAGAUCAUGGGCUCUCUUUUCCCUGGAAGGAGGGGGCUUGGAGAGUUAUAUGUUAUAUUAGAAAGUUAUAAGGAUUUGGGUAGAAAUAGUUAAACAAACAAAAACCUUGUCACUCUUCUCUCUCUCCUUCCUCCAGCUAUUGAAUCCAUACUGUGCACAGAGAUUGGAGAGCAUAUGAAUGCGCCAAUCCUUUCUGUCUUCGGAGUUACUUUUAAAAAACAUGUAGGUGCUGUAAAUUGGAGCCAUUUGCAGUAAGCUAAAGAGCAUUUAAUUUGCUAUGGUUUUGGAGAAUUAUUCCGUUUAGUUCAGUUAUGGUGAGACUAUUGAUACCAGUAUUUGGAAUAAUUGGGAGUGGGAGAGAAAGGAGGUUAAAAACCUAAAGCAAACCAGUGGAAAUUUAUGUUUACUCCUUCAGAAGAAUAUUGGUUUGGAAUUAGGAAAGAGAUGUGAAACUUCAUAUGUAAUAGUAUUCCUAGAAGUGAAACAUCUUGGCAAAUACUGGAACUCCAAAUGGUUUAUACUGUUAAUUGGGCAGUACAUAAAAAUGACUGGCCUGGACCCAAAAGCAAAUGGAUAGGUAAAUGUCCAAGAAUUUCCUGCUGAAAUACCAUUCCCUAAUGGGCUGGAGGGGAGAGUACAGGUGCCCGGGGUGUAGAUACUUUCUAUAUUGAUGCUGGUUAUGCAGCAGGAUUUGCAGAUUAAUCCUUUUGCCAAUGCUGCAGAUUGAUGGGUAACCACAUGAUGUGCCAUCUGCCACUUAGCUGUUAAGUUAAAUUUAGAUGCUGUGCAAAUUUUUUUAUUUGUUCCUUAAAACAAUUGUAACAGAAGUGUUAUUCAGCUGUCUGAACAAAAAGAGAGUAAAUAACUUUGAAAGUAGUAGAUUUGUGGGGUUUUUUUAACGCAAGAUGUAUAGAAGCUUUAAAUUAUAAAUGCACAGUUUACUGUUAUUUCUUUAUUUAGAUUAUAGUAAGGAAUUUGGUUUUGAACAUGCUGAGAGUCCACCCAUUUCAUACAUCCAUAGUUGACACCUGAACAGGUUCUGACUCUUUCUCUCUGAUAAUAAAUAAGCUCUACUGAGUGCUAAAAUUGCUUGGGAAAGUGUGAAUGCCAUGUUUGGGGUGCAGCACUCUGAUGCAGAAAGGAAGUAUAAUUGUUGGGGUUGGUAGUUCUUCACUACCUAGUUUCCCUGUCCCCCAGUAUGUUUCUUUGGUGUGCUCUGUCAUUUUAUUGCAAAGAUAAGCUAGGCAAGUUGGAAGCAAACCAACUCUUGUGUUCAGGAUGAUAGCAUGGGCAGCAAGAGAGUGAUUUGCAGAAGAGUGUCUCUCCUAGGAGAGACUGGGGCAUGGACUGAGUACCUGGCCAUCCCAUUGGAGUCAGGUGAAUGUGUAAGGACAGGGAAGA